CAACCUCAGAUCAGACGUGGUGACCCGCUGAAUUUAAGCAUAUUAGUCAGCGGAGGAAAAGAAACUAACCAGGAUUUCCUCAGUAAUGGCAAGUGAACAGGGAAGAGCCCAGCGCCGAAUCCCUGUCCCGUGGUGGGGCGCGGGAAAUGUGGCAUACAGAAGACCCACUCCCCGGUGCUGCUCUCGGGGGGCCCAAGUCCUUCUGAUAGAGGCACAGCCCGUGUACGGUGUGAGGCCAGUAGCGGCCCCCAGCGUGCCAGGACCGGGUCUUCUCGGAGUUGGGUUGCUUGGGAAUGCAGCCCAAAGCGGGUGGUAAACUCCAUCUAAGGCUAAAUACCGGCACGAGACCGAUAGUCAACAAGUACCAUAAAGGAAAGUUGAAAAGAACUUUGAAGACAGAGUUCAAGAGGGUAUGAGCAAAAUUGAAAAGAAUAACCUUGAAAGUAAAGAGGGCUGUAGCAAGUUGCGUAUGGUAUACAUACAGUUAAUUCAUCCAGAAUUGAUGCAUGUUACCUUUCUUUUUCUUUGAAACUGCUGCAAGUUUUAGGUACUCCAUAAACACACUUCUGAGCAGCACUUUGGUGCCUACUGGGUGUGUCAACAUGUGCAUUAAGGCACUUUGUAAUGCACAUUAAAUUUUGUACCUCCAAUGUGAGGUUCUAAAGAAAUGCUCAUUAAGCUGCCUUAAUGCACAGUAAAAAAUGUUCAUGU
rnacentral:ncRNA from 1 species